rnacentral:rRNA from 1 species
UACGUAGGGGCCGAGCGUUGUCCGGAGUUACUGGGCGUAAAGCGCGCGCAGGCGGCGCAUCGCGCCCGGCGUGAAAGCCCCCGGCUCAACCGGGGAGGGUCGUCGGGGACGGGUGCGCUUGAGGACGGCAGGGGCAGGUGGAAUUCCCGGUGUAGUGGUGAAAUGCGUAGAGAUCGGGAGGAACACCCGUGGCGAAGGCGGCCUGCUGGGCCGAUCCUGACGCUGAGGCGCGAAGGCGUGGGGAGCGAACAGG